ACAGAGGGAGUCCGUGGUGACGGGCUGAGAGACGGAUCAUAUCCGUGACCUUUUGACCUGAUCUGGAUCAUGCCAGCGUAGGGAACGUC
rnacentral:ncRNA from 1 species